rnacentral:rRNA from 1 species
UUCUWGAUUGAAUUCAKAUUUAGUAAGUAAAAUCUGCCCGGUGAAAUAAAUUUAACGGCUAUAAGAAUAUUAAAGUAGCGUAACAAUUUGUCAUUUAAUUAAUGAAUAUAAUGAAGAUUUUAUGAAUUAAAUACUGUCUUUAAAAAAUAAAAUAAAAUUAAUAAUUUAGUGAAAAAUCUUAAUUAUUUUUAAAAGACGAUAAGACCCUAUAGAACUUAUUUAAAAUUUUAAAUUUACUGGGGAAGUAAAAAUAGAUAUAAAAUUAUUUUUAAAUAUAAAAAUAAUUAAAUUUUGUAACCACUUAUUAAUGAUUAAAAAGUUACCUUAGGGAUAACAGCAUUAAAAAUAUAUAAAGUCCUUAUUUUAAUAUUUUUUAAUGACCUCGAUGUUGAAUUAAGAUAAAUUUAAAAAGUAAAAAUUUUAUUUAAUUAGGUCUG